ACGGGGGGGGCAAGCGUUGUUCGGAUUUACUGGGCGUAAAGGGCGCGUAGGCGGCCACCGCAAGUCGGUUGUGAAAUCUCUGGGCUUAACCCAGAAAGGUCAAUCGAUACUGCGGGGCUAGAGUGCAGAAGGGGCAACUGGAAUUCUCGGUGUAGCGGUGAAAUGCGUAGAUAUGCGGAGGAACACCGAUGGCGAAGGCAAUCUCCUGGGCCUGUACUGACGCUCAUGCACGAAAGCGUGGGGAGCAAACAGGA
rnacentral:rRNA from 1 species